rnacentral:rRNA from 1 species
CACUCACUGCAUGAUAGCUGGCUUGGCCCAUGAGACCUAUUGUCUUAUUGUCCUAGCAAGGGCCAAGAUUGAGAGGCUUGGGCUUGCGGGUGCGGGCAAUUUCAAAUCCAUGAACUUCGUAUAGAGCAUCUCGGAGGAAGAUGAGCAAUGUUCACGGAAAAAGAACACAGAUUUGGUCCAUGUCUUACUGAUAAAAAAUAAGACCUUUGUGACCAUGACAGAUGCUAGGGGGAAUAAGAAGACUGGGGCCUCCGCAGGUUGUUUGGAGGAAAGGAAAUGGCGGUCUCGUCUUUCUCGGUAUGCUGCUGAAGCAACUGCAGAACAUGUCGGGCGAUCCGCCAGAAAGAUGGGUUUGAAGUCAGUUGUCAUGAAAGUGAAAGGAUCUACUUAUUUUAGGAAAAAGAAUAAAGUGAUCUUGAGCUGGAGAGAAGGUUUUCGAGGUGAAGGAGUAGGAGAUCAAUCUCAAAUUAUGUACAUCCACGAUGUGACCCAACUUUCACAUAAUGGAUGCCGACUCCCAAAAAAAUGUCGUGUUCAAAUAAAAGAGUUCCAACCAUUUUUGAAUCUCCAUUUUAACUUGACAAGAAAGAAUUCCGAAAAAAAUCUGACUCGGAAGAGAGGCUAGACUAAUUGACUGAGCGAGACUCCAUCUAACUAUUCUGCAUCCAUAACGCAAAGCCGCGUGAGUGAAGCAACCUAAACUUUGUAGUCAAGGCGAAGCUCCAUUGUGGACGUGAGGAUCCUGUUCUAUUGAGCCUUCCCGCUUAUCCUACAUACAACUCAGUCACAUUAGGCGGGCUAAGCCUCAAGCUAUCACCUCGACGUUUUGAGCUAGCCUAUCUAGUCUAGUUUUUAUUGCUGCGUCUGUUUACGCUCUAGUUGUCGGGGGGCUAGCUGGCUUGCUGCUUUCUUUCUUUUCCUGGAAAUCAAAGGCGAAUAAAAUACAAUAUGACCCGGAAAAAAGGGACUAACAGCUGCUGAGGUUAGAUUUUUGGAUCGAUCCAUCAGGGAGGAAAAAAUGAAAUGAUAGAAUGAAAUUACUAGGAAGACGUCGCCUCGACAUCUCUUUGUCUGCGGUAAUUGUAAUGCCCUAAACCAUAAGUUGUAGUAUGUCCUCUUGGACAACCGACAGUUCUUCAAGUUCGUGCCAAAGUCUAUCUUUCAUGCUUAGCGCUUUUAAUUUGUCAAGGCCCUUUUUUACCAAACAUAGAGGCGAACUCAUCACAUAAGGCCUAGCAAUGCAGUCUAUCAAUGUCCCAUAUGACAUUUAUCUGUAGGAGGGGAUACGCUUGAAGAGCUGAGGAGACUUUAGAAGUGCGGAUGCAGGAUACUUAUCUCCACAUUCUGCAAGGUCUGGGGGUAGCAGUGAAUCAUCCGGCUUACCCAGCGCUUCCGAGUUAGAACUUGACUUGCCUCGACUUCCCUUUAACUAGAUUGACUAGGGGACUUGCCUCUGCUUCCUCUUUCGGGUUGACAGGCCAGGACACCGGCUGAGCUUCCCUCAUUCUGAUCAUAUGAUCCUAGGUAGGCGAGUUCUUAUAUGUCAGAUGCUUUAGCAACCUCGACACAUGAAUACUCACAAGAAGUUUGAUCACGGCUUCUAGUCCCCUGCGGCCUAGGCUGAAACACACCUUGAGCCAGAACCAAGGUACCCAGUUGAGUCCGUAGGUGUGCUACGCCUAACGGUAACAUCACUGAGCUGCACCCGGAAAUACCAACUAAUAAAGCCCCGAAAUAGUUACCAGUUCCAGAGAGGACAGGUGAUAGGAUUGGAGGCCUAUACCAAAUAGAGCCGAAUUUCUUCAGCAUUACAUCAGAAUCACCCUCCUUCACUCCCCAGUGUCUUUCCAACUGUGGAGUACCGACAAUAUCUAUCCGAACAGUGUCUUUCAGUAGUACUGUAUAGUACCAUGAGGUAGACUGAGUUUGGCGAGGUCUCAAUGUCGGGUAAGUUCCGACCUGCACGGAAGGCGUAACGAUCUGGGCACUAUCUUGGAGAGAGGCUCGGUGAAAUAGACAUGUCUGUGAAGAUGCGGACUACCUGCACCUGGACAAAAAGACCCUAUGAAGCUUUACUGUUGCCUGGGAUUGGCUUUGGGCCUUUCCUGCACAGCUUAGGUGGAGGGCGAAGAAGGCCUCCUUCCGGGGGGGGGCCCGACCCAUCAAUGAGAUACCACUCUGGAAGAGCUAGAAUUCUAACCUUGUGUCAGGACCUACGGGCCAAGGGGCAGUCUCAGGUAGACAGUUUCUAUGGGGCGUAGGCCUCCCAAAGGGUAACGGAAGCGUGCAAAGGUUUCCUCAGCCCGGACGGAGAUUGGCCCUCAAGUGCAAAGGCAGAAGGGAGCUUGACUGCAAGACCCACCCGUCGAGCAGGGAUAAAAGUCGGCCUUAGUGAUCCGACGGUGCCGAGUGGAAGGGCCGUCGCUCAACGGAUAAAAGUUACUCUAGGGAUAACAGGCUGAUCUCCCCCAAGAGUUCACAUCGACGGGAAGGUUUGGCACCUCGAUGUCGGCUUUUCGCCACCUGGGGCUGUAGUAUGUUCCAUGGAUUGGGUUGUUCGCCCAUUAAAGCGGUACGUGAGCUGGGUUCAAAAUGUCGUGAGACAGUUCGGUCCAUAUCCGGUGCGGGCGUUAGAGCAUUGAGAUGACCUUUCCCUAGUACGAGAGGACCGGGAGGGGCGCACCUCUCUAGUACCAGUUAUUGUGCCCACGGUAAAUGCUAGGUAGCCAAAUGCGGAGCGGAUAACUGCUGAAAGCAUCUAAGUAGUAAGCCCACCCCAAUAUGAGUGCUCUCCUAUUCCGACUUCCCCAGAGCCUCCGGUAGCAUAGUCGAGACAACAACGGGUUCUCUGCCCCUGCGGGGAUGGAGCGACAGAAGGAUUGGGAGGAAUCCAAGAUAAGGUCACGGUGAGACGAGCCGUUUAUCAUUAUGAUAGGUGUCAAGUGGAAGUGCAGUGAUGUAUGCAGCUGAGGCAUCCUAACAGACCGAGAGAUUUGAAC